rnacentral:rRNA from 1 species
AAAUUGAAGAGUUUGAUCAUGGCUCAGAUUGAACGCUGGCGGCAGGCCUAACACAUGCAAGUCGAACGGUAACAGGAAACAGCUUGCUGUUUCGCUGACGAGUGGCGGACGGGUGAGUAAUGUCUGGGAAACUGCCUGAUGGAGGGGGAUAACUACUGGAAACGGUAGCUAAUACCGCAUAACGUCGCAAGACCAAAGAGGGGGACCUUCGGGCCUCUUGCCAUCGGAUGUGCCCAGAUGGGAUUAGCUAGUAGGUUGGGUAACGGCUCACCUAGGCGACGAUCCCUAGCUGGUCUGAGAGGAUGACCAGCCACACUGGAACUGAGACACGGUCCAGACUCCUACGGGAGGCAGCAGUGGGGAAUAUUGCACAAUGGGCGCAAGCCUGAUGCAGCCAUGCCGCGUGUAUGAAGAAGGCCUUCGGGUUGUAAAGUACUUUCAGCGGGGAGGAAGGGAGUAAAGUUAAUACCUUUGCUCAUUGACGUUACCCGCAGAAGAAGCACCGGCUAACUCCGUGCCAGCAGCCGCGGUAAUACGGAGGGUGCAAGCGUUAAUCGGAAUUACUGGGCGUAAAGCGCACGCAGGCGGUUUGUUAAGUCAGAUGUGAAAUCCCCGGGCUCAACCUGGGAACUGCAUCUGAUACUGGCAAGCUUGAGUCUCGUAGAGGGGGGUAGAAUUCCAGGUGUAGCGGUGAAAUGCGUAGAGAUCUGGAGGAAUACCGGUGGCGAAGGCGGCCCCCUGGACGAAGACUGACGCUCAGGUGCGAAAGCGUGGGGAGCAAACAGGAUUAGAUACCCUGGUAGUCCACGCCGUAAACGAUGUCGACUUGGAGGUUGUGCCCUUGAGGCGUGGCUUCCGGAGCUAACGCGUUAAGUCGACCGCCUGGGGAGUACGGCCGCAAGGUUAAAACUCAAAUGAAUUGACGGGGGCCCGCACAAGCGGUGGAGCAUGUGGUUUAAUUCGAUGCAACGCGAAGAACCUUACCUGGUCUUGACAUCCACGGAAGUUUUCAGAGAUGAGAAUGUGCCUUCGGGAACCGUGAGACAGGUGCUGCAUGGCUGUCGUCAGCUCGUGUUGUGAAAUGUUGGGUUAAGUCCCGCAACGAGCGCAACCCUUAUCCUUUGUUGCCAGCGGUCCGGCCGGGAACUCAAAGGAGACUGCCAGUGAUAAACUGGAGGAAGGUGGGGAUGACGUCAAGUCAUCAUGGCCCUUACGACCAGGGCUACACACGUGCUACAAUGGCGCAUACAAAGAGAAGCGACCUCGCGAGAGCAAGCGGACCUCAUAAAGUGCGUCGUAGUCCGGAUUGGAGUCUGCAACUCGACUCCAUGAAGUCGGAAUCGCUAGUAAUCGUGGAUCAGAAUGCCACGGUGAAUACGUUCCCGGGCCUUGUACACACCGCCCGUCACACCAUGGGAGUGGGUUGCAAAAGAAGUAGGUAGCUUAACCUUCGGGAGGGCGCUUACCACUUUGUGAUUCAUGACUGGGGUGAAGUCGUAACAAGGUAACCGUAGGGGAACCUGCGGUUGGAUCACCUCCUUACCUUAAAGAA